CACUGACAUUAGAUACCCCUGUAGUCCAGGGUGUAAACGCUGCAGACUUGGUGCUGGGAACCCUUCGGGGGUGCUCAGUGCCGGAGAGAAGUUGUUAAGUCUGCUACUUGGGGAGUACGUCCGCAAGGAUGAAACUUAAAGGAAUUGGCGGGGGAGCACCGCAACGGGAGGGCGUGCGGUUUAAUUGGAUUCAACGCCGAAAAACUCACCAGCAGCGACUGUUACAUGAAAGUCAGGUUGAUGACCUUACUAGAUUUUCAG
rnacentral:rRNA from 1 species